GGUAUUCUAUGACAGAAUGCAAAGGACACUGAGAUGCUUACCAAUAUGGCUGAAUUAAGCUGAAGUCACCCUCCGCUUUCCCUCCAUUUCCAUGCAGCCAUCUAUACAACCUGGUAUAGAUGAUUCAUUGCAUAGCCUACAGAAGCAAGACUAUGUGCGGGACAAGUGGCGAAGGCUCAAGAAAUAACAUUUUUCUAAUUGCUUCAAUCAUCGUUAUCACAGUUUCAACCACACCACGGGC
rnacentral:lncRNA from 1 species